UGGGGAAUAUUGCACAAUGGGGGAAACCCUGAUGCAGCGACGCCGCGUGGAGGAAGAAGGUCUUCGGAUUGUAAACUCCUGUUGUUGGGGAAAGAAGGAUGGUACCCAACAAGGAAGUGACGGCUAACUACGUGCCAGCAGCCGCGGUAAAACGUAGGUCACAAGCGUUGUCCGGAAUUACUGGGUGUAAAGGGAGCGCAGGCGGGUAUGCAAGUUGGAAGUGAAAUACAUGGGCUCAACCCAUGAACUGCUUUCAAAACUGUGUAUCUUGAGUAGUGCAGAGGUAGGCGGAAUUCCCGGUGUAGCGGUGGAAUGCGUAGAUAUCGGGAGGAACACCAGUGGCGAAGGCGGCCUACUGGGCACCGAACUGACGCUGAGGCUCGAAAGUGU
rnacentral:rRNA from 1 species